UAGUCAAUGUGUCCAGGUGGUGAAAGGGGAAGGCAUUAUCUGCAAAUCAGACAGGGUGCGUUUGGGAGCAGUGGUGACAGUAUGCUGAGCUGCAAGACUGCCAUUGCAAAAAGCUGAGGCACAUGCAGUCUGACCUCAACACAGCUGGCUCUCCCUUAAUGAAGAUAAAGUGCAUUUGGCAUUAUGUGAAUCACAUUUUCAAUGCUGCUAUCUGACCAUGAUGGACACUCUACAAAGCCCUUCCAUCACAGAAGUCUGUUAGCUAUCCAGCCUUUUUUCAGGCACUAACCAAAGAAGUAUCUCAUCGACGUCUGUGUUCCCACGCUAUUCCCAUGAAAAGCUCACUCAGGCUUGCAGACAGAUGCACUGCAGAUCCUGAGAGCACAAAGUAAGCAGAAAUGGCUUAGUGAAAAUAAAAUACCCAACGAACAAACAAAACAACACUGUACCAAUCCUUCUACCAGUGUCUGUUUUUCAUUGGAAAGAAUAGAGGAAUGCAUUAUCCUUGACCACCCAUGUACUUUAGACCUUCCAAACUCAACGUCUGCAUGCUGAACUCGAUGAGGAAGGAAUAGUGUGCGUAUGAAGCAAGUUGCAAAAACUUGUUAUGUCUCUCAAAAGAGAAAUGUAGAAUGAAAGUUCUAUUCUGUAUUCGCCUGUGUUUUGAUUUCAGAAUAAAUGUGGUGAUAGCAGUGGAGGAUACUCAUCACCUUGCAGCUGCUGAAAGAAAAAACCUCUAGUAUUUAGUACCAGAGAGAGUGAGAGAAAGAAAUAAGCCAACCUACAGAUAAAUCAGAUCAAGACUUUUCAGUCUGCCUUUUUAUGCUUAUUUGGCCAUUAUUUUGCCUUCUAGGCUAGUCAAAAUCUCGACCAUUCUAAUUCACUUUUCAUAGGCAAAUGCUGCUCCCUGACACCUGGACUUAGCAUGAUUGAGAAACAGAGGAACAGCCAGAAGUGAGGACCCGACAGGCUAGGGACUAUUUAGAGAAGCUGGAUGUAUUCCAACAUGUGAGGCUAAAUGAAGUCUACCCAAGCUUGCUGAAAGAGAUGGCUGAUGUAAUUGCAGGGCCAACUAACGUCUGUGAAAAAUUGUGACAACUGUGGGGUACACCUAAUGCCUGGAGAAAGAUACCUGUCUUCAAAAGAGGCAAUGAUCUUGAAGCUUGUCAGGUCACUUCAGUUCAGGGAAAGAUCAUGGCGGACACCUUGGAAUCCAUUUCCAAAGACAUGAGUGACAGGAAGGCAAUCAGGAGCGAUCAAUAUCAAUUUACUAAGAGCAAAUCAUCCUUGACCAACCUGACUUGCCUUCCAAGAUGUAAUCACUGCCUACAUGGACAAGAGAACAGUGAAUAUGAUAUACCUUAACUUUAGUAAGAUUUUAUACACUGUGUCCCAAAGAAGUCUCAUUUGGAAGCUGACAAAGUAUGAGCUGGAAGAGCAGACAGUGAGAUAGGUUGAAAACUGGCUGGGCUGACAUAAUUAAAAACUGUCAAACCAUUAAAACUGACAUCUUCAUCUAUGGUAUCUGGUUCAAAACCAGCUUAUCUCUUAGAGAUUUUAGAAUGAGGACAGAACUAAUUUGUUCUGAUGCCUAAUGGCAUCUGGAUGCAUCUUUUAGAUACAGGACAAAAUGGUUGAGACCAUAAUGCCAAACAUUGCUGAACACAGAAGAGCAGCUCCACGCUAAGUCCGAGGAAAAGAUGAAAUUCUGUGAAAACUAGAAUCAGUGGGAUAUCAGGGAGUCCCCAAAAUAACAAAGGAUUGGGAUGCUGACACACAGGGAACUUGUGGAAGCUGAAAUAGCUGCUACAAUGAUUACUGAGCUUGUUUUAUGGAACUACAAAGUAUAAGAAUUUCUUGUGAAGACAUUGAAGAAAAGCAUAAGUUUAAACUUGAAAUCCAAGCAGGAAAAAGAUGUUGGCUUAAAGCAUAACCUCACAGAUACUUCAGAUGCAUGGCAGAUUGUCUUGAUUGUUUCCAUGGACAUCAAGAAAACAUAUAAUGGCAGCAGAAGGAAAUGGUGUUGCCGUAAGAACAAGAAAUUUUCAUGGGUUUCCAAGUGGUCUGAGUAAACUCCAUCUGUGCUUGUGAGAAUGUGAUAGCAUUUACAAGUGUACCUGCUCUACUCAGCACUUGUCAGGCCACACCCGGAGUACUGUGUCCAGUUCUGGUCCCUGCUAUACAAAAAGGAUGUGGACAAGCUGGAAGGGGUCCAGAGAAGGGCCACCAAGAUGAUCAAAGGACUGGGAAGCCUGCCAUACGAGGGUAGGCUGGGAGAACUGGGUUUGUUCAGCCUUGAGAAAAGGACGCUCAGAGGGGAUCUCAUCCCCAUGUACCAGUACUUGAGGGGUAGCUACAAAGAAGACGGAGACUCCCUUUUUACAGCAAGUCACAUGGAGAGGACAAGGGGGAAUGGACACAAGUUGCUCUUGGGGAGAUUCUGACUGGGCACGAGAGGGAAAUUUUUCACAGUGAGGACAGUCACCAUUGGAAUAAUCUCCCCAGGGAAGGGGUUGCCUCGGCCACAUUGGACACCUUUAAGAGUCGUCUGGACAGGGUGCUGGGCCACCUUGUCCAGACUGCGCUUUUCCCAGAAAGGUUGGACUAGAUGAUCCCUGAAGUCCCUUCCAGCCUGGGAUUCUGUGGUUCUGUGAUAGCUUCAAAGCUACAUUUGAACAGGACUAAAUAAUGCAAACUUUCAGCUUAAUAAACACCAUAUAUAUGUAUAUAUAUAAUAUAUAAUAUAUUUUGGCACUGGCUUUACUGAUUGGUACAUGUCUUAUGAAACCUGAAUAUUCCUAACUGACUCACAGCAACCCAGUGCAGUCCUGAAAUACUGGCACUAGACACAACCAUUUAUCUAGGUGUAGAGAAAAACAAAACUUGUUUGUGUAUACAUAGGAACAAGCCUGGCAUAUGAAAAAAACCACUGCAGCAAGUUUCCUGAUUUUUUUUUUCUCCUAUGCUGAAAAUUCCACAAAUAAGUUGUUAGGAAGGUGAGGCUAAGGAAAAUAUGUAGCAAGAGAUUACUUUAGUACUUCAUUAUGAUAAAGUGCACUUGCAGAUAGCCUCUAUUUUCAAGAACUCUGUUCUCUGAUAUGAAACUGUAUAAAAGCUGGUGCAGCUAUGGAUUUCUGGCUGCCAUUGAAAAGCUCAAAGUUCUGAUAGCAGUUAAAUUCUGUUAAGACCAUCGCUAAUACAAAGUACUGAAAAUUAUUACUCGCUGUUAUUCCUAUUUCUUUUGCAAGUUGUUUAACAUACUUAAGUAUUCUAGGAGCUAAAGAAUUUAAUAAUGUAGUUAUCUCUUCUCCUAGGUUUUCUUUUUUUUGGUCUUGCCCUUUAUUUUUUUUAAUAAGACAGCUCAAAAUUGCCAUCUGAGUAUUUUCAGUUUUUAUGUCCCUGGAUCCAAUAUCACAGAAAUUGCCUAGUCUGAUCUCUGUGUCUUAUAGGCAAUUAUAUAUCAUCCAGUUCAAAUAAGUAAACUUCAGGACACUAAAAUGUUCAAGAGAUAUUCAGGCUAUAGGUCAUAAGUAUUCAGCAGUAAAUUAAUUUAGUAAAAUAAAUAAUAGAAAAAGGCAUAUUUUGUUUAGGACAUUAGGAUGAAGGGGAAAAAAAAUUAAUAUUUCUGUCAGCUGUGUCCUCUUGAAGAUUGAUUUAGUACUGAAAGCCCAUGCUAAACAGGAGAGAAGAGUCUCCAUAGCAUCACUGGUCCUCUCUGCUCUAUAUCCUAUCUCCAUUUGUGAUGAAUACUUCAGAGGAAAACAUAGCUGAUCCUUUUUCCUCUGAAUAUCCCUGACCAGCCAGGAAUAAUCAUCCUGUUCUGAUGCCUAGAGGUGAUGAAAUCAAGUGUGAAGUUUUAUUUUAGUUCUUAUUUUGCUGAAAAACUAAAGCAAGAAUGUUGCAGGCAGACUGAUUCAGGACAAAUGUUGAUCUUCCCAUAAUCUAGGAAAAGAAUGAUUGUGCAUGGGAACUAUUGGAACAAGAGAGACCUCAUCAACCAUGAUACACCUUUCCAAAGACAAGCAGGAAGGAUGGAUCCAACCGUGUUACAUAGGCAUUAACCUAAUUUGUUUUAAAGACUUCAAAUAGUUCCAAUCUACGACUUUUCUAAUAAGCUGUAUCAACAGUUGACUACCCUUUUGCUAUGAAAGUGAAUGUUAUUGCAAGGUUGAACUUUAAUUGCAUUCUGUAGCAAAUGAAUCUUCUCACACGUUUGCUGGCAAGACUUAAAAGCCGUCCACUCUUGGAUAUCUUUUCCACAUUCCUACAUACAGUUAUCAAACCACUCAUUAUCCUUUGGGCUGAUUCCUCAGUGCUUGCCAGGAACUGAAGAUAUGAAAUGCUAUAAAAGUAUUCACUUCUCCUGGAGUGACAAAAUUAACCCCAAUUCCAUGUGUGAGUAUUUAUUUGAAUUACCUGUGGAUAAAUGGACUUUCCGAGGAGUAAUCACUGAGCAUGAUCUCAUGUAAAACCCUGAAUUCUGUUACAGCUCUACCACAGGAAUUUUGGUGAUUAAACUUAAGGGAAAUCCAUGGGAAGCCUUCCUCGACUUCGGCAAGCAUUGAGUUGUGUCCUGGAUCACUAAACACUAUCUUUUUCCCUGAUCUUUUCUGACCUCGAAUGCUAGGGCAAUUGAUGUUGCUUUGAUCAAUUCGAUCUCACCUUCAUUAGAUGCUUUACUCAGCCAGUCAGUUUUACAAACUGCUACUGAAAUAGAAUUUGAGAGACUUGAUACCUGGGAACCAAUGGAAUGUACCCCUUUAAAAAUAAGGGCUAUGUCAUGUCCAUGUCAUAUUGUACCUUAUGGGUGAAGGAGGUGGAACUGUUGAGCUGCCUCAUGCUCGGAAAGUCUUCUGUCACAUAGCUCUAAAUUCCAACAAUAAGACAAAGCCCAUGUCCUGAUGCCAGCUAUAGUAGUCAGAAAACAACUAUCCUCCACUCCUUCCUGAAUAAUAAGAGUAGAUCAGAAGGGAUAAGGAUUUUGAUUUAUCCUGCAGUGUUUAGUUAGAGGAGUCAUGUAAAAAAGAAUCCUGACCCUCUGUUUAAAAUGUCUUCUAACAUGAUACAGCCUAUGAUAACCAAAUCAUUUGUUAUUCAACUCGCUACUGUAAUGCUUAAAAAUAGUUUUCUUAAAGUAACUUAAGAACUUAUUACAUGUAAUUUCUUAAUCUGUUAGACAGACUUUGUGAUGAAUAAGUUACUUACUACUUAUAAAUAAAAUUACCCAAAUCUUUAAAAAUUACUUUAUUCCAGAAUAAAAUAGGCAGUACAGCAGGAACAUGAGAAUGAAAUGCUCUGUUAGUCUCUCUCAUUUGGAUUAAUUCAUCCUGCAAGUGAAGAACACAGCUUUUUAACACAGUGGGGUCAGUACAGUUUUAAUGAACAGCUGACUGGUCCAAGACUCGCAAAAUCACAGACGGACCUGGUAUAAUUUUCCUCAUACACUGCCUUUUAAUGGAAGGACAACUGCACUGUUUGGGAAAAUACUUGCUCAGCUGGGUGAGAGUCAGUUCCAGAGUAUCCACAGUCUGACAUUCAGAGCAGUUCUGUUUGAUGCAGUAGCAGAAACAGAAAUGUUUCAUAAACACCAGAGUUCCCACUGCUGAACUCUACAGAUGCCUGCAGUGAUGCUUACAACGAAGGCAAUUUCAUACAUGCACAUACGCAGCCCAUGAGGCAAAAACAUAGUAACAGCAUAAUUACUGGUUUGAGCAGCUGAGCUACUAGAACUUCAGUGAAAACAAUAAGGAGAGAUUUAAUAGCUCGUACUGCUUCUGUGGGAACUUCGGAUGACCACACAGAAAUCAACGAAAAUUAGGAAAGAAUUUCCCAUGCCUUUUAUGGAAUAAGUUGCAUACUCCACAUGGAUGCACACAGGAUGGUGAUUUACUGGUUGGAAGAACUGAGUCCAUUUCUCAUUUUGGAAGGUGAUACUGAUGGUGGUUUUUGGGUAGAAUUGGCUAACAAUGCUGUCAGACCAGAAGACAGCAGGGAAUGCAAAAACAUGCCAGGUUUUUUCCAGUAAAUCUUAAAGAUGAUCUGCUAGUAGAUGACAAUGAUGUGUGGUUUUUGAAGGAGAUAUAAGUAUAAUUCAUUCACACAGAUUAAUGAUAAAAAGCCACUCUUUAAGAGCUAGAAGAGAGAAAAAUCUUUAAAAAGAAAAAUCAAACUAGACAAAAAUACAUGCAGGUUUUUUUUUUUUUAAAUUAUUCAGUCCAUUUUGUAUCCAUAAAAAUAGUCUUGUAUUUAAACUUUCUACUUAAGUCUUCAUUUACAUUUUCCUACCAUAGUUAUGUAUUGCUUGUAUUUCUAGAAUGACACUUUUACUAUGCAAUUUCCAUAUUUCAAAAUACAAAUUAAUAAUUGUAUUUGCUGUCUGAAUUUGUUUUCAUCUUCAUUUUUAGCGAUAGUCAAGACCCACCAAUUUCAGAUGGAAAUUAUCAGUCAUCAUAU